AUUUUACAGAAAAUAACAGCGCUGAAGAUUGAAAAUGGAAAGGGCACCCGUGGCUGGCGGUGAAGCCAUAUGUCUGUCUGGAGCUGUACUGUUUGUGAAUGCUGAUGAUGUGAUCUUGAUGGAAGUCUCCACUCCACUUAUCUACCGAAAUUGUAAUGACGGCCUUAAGGAGUCAUAUGCGCCUUGCUGAAUCCUACUUGCUGUUAAGGGGUCGAGCAUUGAUGUGGAAGAGAACUAGGACUAGCUCUGGAGUCCCCGAGAGACACAAAAAGCCAGUUGCUGAUUUAACCUGCCAGUGCCCCCGUAAGCUGAGGAAAGCCAUACUAUCAAACUUUAAAGCAACAAAAAUGUCAUGUUGCGUCCUUGGACUGUGGAACUCUGGGUUAAUAGGCUUAAAAUGUGCCAUAUUUCAUAUACUUGAUAAACCUUUCUGUAGCCUUAUUUGCCUAAUAAAAUCUCAAAUUAA